AUUGAACGCUGGCGGCAGGCUUAACACAUGCAAGUCGAGCGGGGUGAUGUAGCCUGCUACAUUACCUAGCGGCGGACGGGUGAGUAAUGCUUAGGAAUCUGCCUAUUAGUGGGGGACAACAUUCCGAAAGGAAUGCUAAUACCGCAUACGCCCUACGGGGGAAAGCAGGGGAUCUUCGGACCUUGCGCUAAUAGAUGAGCCUAAGUCAGAUUAGCUAGUUGGUGGGGUAAAGGCCUACCAAGGCGACGAUCCGUAGCGGGUCUGAGAGGAUGAUCCGCCACACUGGGACUGAGACACGGCCCAGACUCCUACGGGAGGCAGCAGUGGGGAAUAUUGGACAAUGGGCGAAAGCCUGAUCCAGCCAUGCCGCGUGUGUGAAGAAGGCCUUUUGGUUGUAAAGCACUUUAAGCGAGGAGGAGGCUACUUGGAUUAAUACUCUAGGAUAGUGGACGUUACUCGCAGAAUAAGCACCGGCUAACUUCGUGCCAGCCGCCGCGGUAA
rnacentral:rRNA from 1 species